rnacentral:tRNA from 1 species
GGGGCUGUAGCUCAGUGGUAGAGCACUUGCCUUGCAUGUGUGAGGCACUGCGCGUUCAAUCCUCAGCACCA